rnacentral:rRNA from 1 species
AAUCAACGCUGGCGGCGUGCCUCAGACAUGCAAGUCGAACGAUUAAAGCUCUCUUCGGAGAGUGUAUAGAGUGGCGCACGGGUGAGUAACACGUAAGUAAUCUACCUUUGAGUGGGGAAUAACCCGGGGGAAACCCGAGCUAAUACCGCAUAAUGCAGCGGCACCGCAAGGUGACAGUUGUUAAAGGAGCAAUCCGCUUAAAGAGGAGCUUGCGGCAGAUUAGCUAGUUGGUAAGGUAAUGGCUUACCAAGGCUACGAUCUGUAACCGGUCUAAGAGGACGGUCGGUCACACUGACACUGAAUAACGGGUCAGACUCCUACGGAGGCAGCAGUCGGGAAUUUUGGGCAAUGGGCGAAAGACCUGACCCAGCAACGCCGCGUGAAGGAUGAAGUAUUUC